rnacentral:rRNA from 1 species
AGGAUGAACGCUGGCGGCGUGCCUAACACAUGCAAGUCGAACGUCCUGUCUCGCAAGAGGCAGGGAGUGGCGGACGGGUGAGUACCACGUGGGUCAUCUACCGUGAGGUGAGGAAUACCGGCGAGAAAUCGCCGACAAUCCCGCAUAGCUUCGGGAACGAAGAAAGCAGCAAUGCGCCUGGGGAUGAGCCUGUGGCCGAUUAGCUAGCUGGUGGGGUAAUGGCUCACCAGGGCGACGAUCGGUAGCUGGUCUGAGAGGAUGAUCAGCCACACUGGGAUUGAGAACGGCCCAGACUCCUACGGGGGGCAGCAGUGAGGAAUCUUCCGCAAUGGGGGCAACCUGACGGAGCAACGCCGCGUGCAGGAGGACGCUUUUCGGAGUGUAAACUGCUUUUCUCGAGGAAGAAGCGGACGGUACUCGAGGAAGAAGCCCGGCUAACUACGUGCCAGCAGCCGCGGUAA